CCCGCGAGGGCGCGGAUGAAGGAAGUCUGAGGCGAAGUUCGGAGGAUACGCACAGAAAGCGGAUACAAGGCCUACUUGCGGGCAAGUCUGCAACACAAGACGAAGCCCCAAACCUAACCGUAGCAAGGUGGUAAAUCCGCAUCCCGCCGGACGAAAGAA
rnacentral:ncRNA from 1 species